UGUAUGGAGAAGUAUCAUUUAACUAGCUUUUCAUUUGAGUGUUUGCGGGUCUUUACUUGUACUAUGAUCAUAUUGUUUGCAGGGUUUUAAUUUGAGUGUAAGUUUCUACCACAUCAAAUUUUGGUGUCGUUGUUAGGGAUGAGUGAAAUUACUAAUCCUUAUGUGUUUUUUGUUUGUCUUUCUUUUGUUCUUUUAUUUCAUUUUAAUUUCUUUGAUUCAAGGUACUAGAGAAGCAAGACAUGGCAAUUGCCAAUCUAUUAAAACUUAAAGCUCAAAUGGCUAAUCUUAAUUACUUUUAUUAUGUCACAGAUUCUUGAACAAUCUAAGAUGCAAAGUGUGGUGGACACGUGCAUUUGGUGUGCUCUCUAUGCAAGGUUAUCAAACUAAUCAAUGUCGUCAAUUAAUUGAGAAUAGAGGUUAAGAAAGUGUCACUGUUGUGGGUUAUCAAGGCCACAAUCAACUAAGGAAUCACUCGUCCUUCAACACUUACAAUCUGGGCUGGAGAGACAAUCUGAAUUUUAUGUGGAGGGGUCCUUAACAACUUUUAUCCAAUGUCUAUGGUGCCAUCACAAAGUCCCCCACAACAAUUCCAACCAAAUUUAGUUUAUUCGUGGAGCAUGUUAAAAUUCUUCAAACAUUAAUUGCUUCUAAUGCUUCUGUGAUUUAGGGACACCAAAAUCAAGUUAAGGAAUUGGUAUAUUUGAAGAAUCAAAUGGAGUAAAUAGUAGAAUUCUUAAGAAAAAAUCGAGAACAAGGCAAACUCCUUAGUUCAACUAUUGUUAAUCCAAUUGGAGGUUUUGAAACCACUAACGCUAUCACUUUGAGAAGUGAUAUGGAGGUUUGACUAAACCAAAGACAUUUAAACAUAGCCAAACAAUGGACAAACAGCUUCUGUCUGAAAAUGAUAUGAAUGAUCUAGCCAUGGAAAGGAAGGAACAAUCCUUGCCGCAAUCAACAACCAUCUUGAAGCCUAGUGCUUCAAUCCGUAAAGCUUCUUUGCCACUCAAUUCCAUUGAAGUUGUUCCAAAUUCAAUUCUUUGUAGCCCUAUUAAUCCAAAUGUACCUUUCCUUUGCAAAUUUACUUAGUCUAAGAAUGAAAAGGAUAAGAAAGUCAUCUUGGAAAAUUACCGAAAGGUUCAAGUUAACAUUCCGCUUCUUGAUACCAUAUGCAAGUUUCUAUAUAUGCUAAAUUUUUUAAAUAGCUUUGUACAAUAAGAAGAAAGAUUCCAGAAAAAGAAGUAGUAAGGGAAUAUUUACAGUUUAUCAAUAAAGAUAUAUAUGAGACAGCCACCGCCAAAGGAAUUGGAUUUGGUCACACAAGACAAGCCACUGCCCUCAAACCAAGUCUAACAGAGAAGAACAACUUUACAAGUUUUGAAAUCUUGGCUGCCCUUGAGUUCUUACCACAGCACAAAAGUAAGCACCUCCCCCAUUUACAAUUCUCUUUUCUACUAAUAUGUUGUUAGCUUCAAUAAUUCAGGUAGCCACACUUUACCUUAAACUGAUAUUGGAUUUUAAAGUAUCACAUUCCGUUCAAAGAUCCAAUGUGUAAAAGUAAUGAGGAGCAUUUUUUGAAAGACAUGCCCCACCAUGCAGCAGUUCUUAGUGAGCAUUAAAUGAAGGUAUCGUCUGCUUGGAAAACAUUAAAGAACUACGGUUUUGAGAACAAAAGAUGGGAUUAAACGCCUAAAUACAAGAAAACCCGUUGAUUGCCAAGUUAGACCAUGGUAUUAUUUUGGGUUGGAGAAAUAAGAGACAAAUUAUGAAGUUGGACUGGUCAAAGCUUCAAAUAGUUGGCCCAAUGGAAUGGACUUAUGAAAGAUAGUCCAAGGAGGCUGCGGCAAAAAUAAAGGAAUAGAAAGAACACAACGUAAACUCAUACAUAAGCGGAGAGAAAGAAGAAGCAAUUGGAGAAUUCUAGCUUUGUUGUGGAGUGGAGAAUGGAAUUUUGGUUGUUUCCUUCUUUGUUUUCGAAUUCUAGCGGGGUGUAUUUUUAUUCAAUCAUGAACUAAGUCCUUUUGCUAGGCCUAGGGUGUAUUAUCAUGAACAUAUAAUUCUCGUUUUAAUAUAUUAAUCUCAAUUAUUUUCCAUGUUGA